rnacentral:rRNA from 1 species
CAGCAGCCGCGGGAAUACGUAGGGUGCAAGCGUUGUCCGGAAUUAUUGGGCGUAAAGAGCUCGUAGGCGGUCUGUCGCGUCGAAUGUGAAAAUCCGAGGCUCAACCUCGGACCUGCAUUCGAUACGGGCAGACUAGAGUUCGGUAGGGGAGUCUGGAAUUCCUGGUGUAGCGGUGAAAUGCGCAGAUAUCAGGAGGAACACCGGUGGCGAAGGCGGGACUCUGGGCCGAUACUGACGCUGAGGAGCGAAAGCGUGGGGAGCAAACAGGAUUAGAUACCCCUGUAGUCCCUGUCUCUUAUAC